GUGCCACUAGCUCAGAGAAAGAGCAACUGAUUCUUACUCAGUAGGUCCGGGGUUCAAGUCCUUGGUGGCGCACCA
rnacentral:tRNA from 15 species